UCCAUGGAAAUUGUGAAAGGAAAACAGGGUUUCAAUGAUUGCAGGUGUUUAAUAUCAGUGCUAGAGCUGAAACUGAUUUGCAUAAUGAUGCAAGACUUCCCCAAUGAGUCAGACGUCACUGUUAACUCUACCUCUUCCAUGUAUCAUAACUUUCACUAUGAGUUACACCUAUCUCUUCCGCGUUUGCACCUCACGGCGGCAGGCACACAGUUGUUUGCAGUACUACAAUGUCUGUUGCAUAUCUUUUAACUUUUUUGCUGAUCCUCUUGUCAAGUCAAGCCUGUUGGGGCGGAGAGAAAACCAAGAAUAUAGCUUGUGCAAACCUCAGAACAGGAAAUGCUUACAGAUACUGUGUAGAUGUGAAAGAGGAAUCUAAAAGGAUCUUAUGCGUGGAGUGGAUGUCCAUGAUCCCCAAAGGGGUGACUUCAACCACAGAUGAUACGUCUACGUGGCUUGCUGAACUUUGCCGACACAAAAACACUUCACAAGCACCCAAUGUGAUUGAUGUCAGCUACUCCUGCAUCACCCUCCUGCAGUGUGUCAACGUAGACCACACUGCCAUAAGCAAUUUUACUGAGCAUUGGACCCAUAUCAUUGUCUCUGGUGCAUCAGGGGAGAUGUGUAUAUUGCUUUUCAAGUUUGAGGACAUGUGUCUUCUUGUUAUUUUUUAUUUUUUUCACAUAUACAGUGCCUUCGGAAACUAUUCAGACUC